rnacentral:misc_RNA from 1 species
GAUGAAGAACGUAGCGAAAUGCGAUAAGUAAUGCGAAUUGCAGAAUUCAGUGAGUCAUCGAAUCUUUGAACGCACAUUGCGCCCUGUGGUAUUCUGCAGGGCAUGCCUGUUCGAGCGUCAUUUCAACCCUCAAGCUCUGCUUGGUGUUGGGCCCUGCCCGCUGCGGCCGGCCCUAAAGACAGUGGCGGUGCCGCCUGGCCCUGAGCGUAGUACAUCUCUCGCUCCAGUGCCCGGUGGUAGCCUGCCAGAACCCCAACUCUCGUGGUUGACCUCGGAUCAGGUAGGGAUACCCGCUGAACUUAAGCAUAUCAAUAAGCGGAGGA